AGUGAACGCUGGCGGUAGGCCUAACACAUGCAAGUCGAACGGCAGCACAGUAAGAGCUUGCUCUUACGGGUGGCGAGUGGCGGACGGGUGAGGAAUACAUCGGAAUCUACUUUUUCGUGGGGGAUAACGUAGGGAAACUUACGCUAAUACCGCAUACGACCUACGGGUGAAAGCAGGGGAUCUUCGGACCUUGCGCGAUUGAAUGAGCCGAUGUCGGAUUAGCUAGUUGGCGGGGUAAAGGCCCACCAAGGCGACGAUCCGUAGCUGGUCUGAGAGGAUGAUCAGCCACACUGGAACUGAGAAACGGUCCAGACUCCUACGGGAGGCAGGAGUGGGGAAUAUUGGCCAAUGGGCGGAAGCCUGAUCCAGCCAUACCGCGUGGGUGAAGAAGGCCUUCGGGUUGUAAAGCCCUUUUGUUGGGAAAGAAAAGCAGCAGGUUAAUACCCCGCUGUUCUGACGGUACCCAAAGAAUAAGCACCGGCUAACUUCGUG
rnacentral:rRNA from 1 species